rnacentral:rRNA from 1 species
UACGUAGGGGGCAAGCGUUGUCCGGAAUCAUUGGGCGUAAAGAGCGUGUAGGCGGCUUGGCAAGUCUGACGUGAAAUCCCGCGGCUCAACCGCGGUCGGUCGUUGGAAACUGCCUGGCUAGAGUCCGGAAGAGGAGAGCGGAAUUCCUGGUGUAGCGGUGGAAUGCGCAGAUAUCAGGAGGAACACCCGUGGCGAAGGCGGCUCUCUGGGACGGUACUGACGCUGAGACGCGAAAGCGUGGGGAGCGAACAGG